UAGUAACGGCGAGUGAAGCGGCAACAGCUCAAAUUUGAAAUCUGGCCUCGGCCCGAGUUGUAAUUUGUAGAGGAAGCUUUUGGUGCGGCACCUACUGAGUCCCCUGGAACGGGGCGCCAUAGAGGGUGAGAGCCCCGUAUAGUAGGACGCCUAUCCUUUGUAAAGCUCCUUCGACGAGUCGAGUAGUUUGGGAAUGCUGCUCAAAAUGGGAGGUAAAUUUCUUCUAAAGCUAAAUAUUGGCCAGAGACCGAUAGCGCACAAGUAGAGUGAUCGAAAGAUGAAAAGCACUUUGAAAAGAGGGUUAAACAGCACGUGAAAUUGUUGAAAGGGAAGCGCUUGUGACCAGACAUGCGGCGGGCUGAUCAUCCGGUGUUCUCACCGGUGCACUCUGCCCGCCUCAGGCCAGCAUCGGUUCUCGCGGGGGGAUAAAGGCCUUGGGAACGUAGCUCCUCCGGGAGUGUUAUAGCCCAGGGUGCAAUGCCCUCGCGGGGACCGAGGUUCGCGCUCUGCAAGGAUGCUGGCGUAAUGGUCACCAGCGACCCGUCUUGAAACACGGACCAAGGAGUCAAGGUUUUGCGCGAGUG
rnacentral:rRNA from 1 species